rfam:Scytonema tolypothrichoides VB-61278 scaffold_1, whole genome shotgun sequence.
GUCAGCACCCCUACCUAAAGGCAAGGGGCUUCUAGCCUCAAACUUUUAGGAUUAGUUGACCAGACUCAGCACCUUUGGGUACUACGUUAACGGCAAGUGUUUAAGCUCCUACCUUGGAAUGCGUAGCCCCUCCGGGGUUCAGCAGUCGCUCAUGGGGGAAACCCCCAAGACCGCGCUGCUUCACCAGUUCCAAGCUCUAGAAACCAGAGAUUAAACAGGUUUAGAGGGCUAAGCCAGUGUCUUUGGUAUAGUUACCGACCGUUAACAUUGUCGAGGCUAACUUUAC